GAGGAAUAUUGGUCAAUGGGCGCGAGCCUGAACCAGCCAAGUAGCGUGCAGGAUGACGGCCCUAUGGGUUGUAAACUGCUUUUGUAUGGGGAUAAAGUCAAUCACGUGUGAUUGUUUGCAGGUACCAUACGAAUAAGGACCGGCUAAUUCCGUGCCAGCAGCCGCGGUAAUACGGAAGGUUCGGGCGUUAUCCGGAUUUAUUGGGUUUAAAGGGAGCGUAGGCUGGAGAUUAAGUGUGUUGUGAAAUGUAGACGCUCAACGUCUGACUUGCAGCGCAUACUGGUUUUCUUGAGUACGCACAACGUUGGCGGAAUUCGUCGUGUAGCGGUGAAAUGCUUAGAUAUGACGAAGAACUCCGAUUGCGAAGGCAGCUGACGGGAGCGCAACUGACGCUUAAGCUCGAAGGUGCGGGUAUCGAACAGGAUUAGAUACCCUGGUAGUCCGCACAGUAAACGAUGGAUGCCCGCUGUUGGUACCUGGUAUCAGCGGCUAAGCGAAAGCAUUAAGCAUCCCACCUGGGGAGUACGCCGGCAACGGUG
rnacentral:rRNA from 1 species